GUCCCUGUAGCGCCAUAGAUAGCGCGUUGGACUUCUAAUCCAAAUAUCGAGGGUUCGAAUUUCCACCUGGGAUG